UAUAUGGAGGAGAUAUCCAAAUAGGCCAUUUUCUUUCUUGUUUUUGUUUUUAUUCCAUAAAAGGCCACUCUCAACAAAUAGAAAAGAAACCCUUCAUUAAUUAAACGCAAGAAGACAAUUAAGAAACAUAUACAUCCAAACAAGAACUCACAUAAACAAAUAAAACAAGACAAACACAUACGAGAAAUACCCUAAAGUCAUAAUGAUGUUAAACUAGACCAAACCAGCCACAACAAAUGUCCCAAGGGCACUUGUGAUUAUUUCUGAAACAAACCACACCAGUACACACACCUACAAUAUUCUCAAACACAGAGCAUAGAACAUAACAAUGAGAAACAUACAAGACUACUACAUAGUUUUCUAAUAAGUUGAAGUUUUUGAUGAUGGGGUGUUUUGUUGAACAUCAGCUAAGGCCAAUCCAGGGGUAUAACAUUCUCCCUGCGAGGUAGCUGAGCACAUCAUUGGGUAGCAACAGGGAUCUGAUAGCAAAGCACAACCUUCGCCAGCUUGUUUACAGCUUGAGACAGGUUCACAUCUUCGAUUCUCACCCCAUCCUCCAUCACCUAUACAAUGCAGUCCUUCACAGCAAAUCUUGCCUUGUAAAUGACAUAAUAUUCAAGUGGUGGGUUCAAAUCAUGAGGUUCUAAAUUCAGAUGAAUAUCCGGUUGUAGUGAACCAAAGCACCCCACAACAAUCACACCCACUACCAACGCCAUUACCAUAAACUUCUUCAUCAUUUACUCUCCUAAACUUAAUUAAUAUUUUUAUUUCUUUUGUAAUUCGUUUACAC